CGAAUUUAUCAACGGAGAGAUCGAAAAAAAGCAAAGACCAACGAAUGACUCCAAUGGUAGAUUUAUGAACCUAUCGCCAGUUUUUACCUCUUCAAUUUCUUUAAUUUUUUUUGUUCCCAACUCUUU
rnacentral:ribozyme from 14 species